rnacentral:rRNA from 1 species
UACAGAGGGGGCAAGCGUUGUUCGGAAUUACUGGGCGUAAAGGGCGCGUAGGCGGUUCGUUAAGUCCUGUGUGAAAUCCCCCGGCUCAACUGGGGAACUGCACAGGAAACUAGCGGGCUUGAGUUCGGGAGAGGGAAGCGGAAUUCCGGGUGUAGCGGUGAAAUGCGUAGAUAUCCGGAGGAACACCGGUGGCGAAGGCGGCUUCCUGGACCGACACUGACGCUGAGGCGCGAAAGCGUGGGGAUCAAACAGG